rnacentral:rRNA from 1 species
AUUGAACGCUGGCUGCAGGCCUAACACAUGCAAGUCGAACGAGUUGCGGACGGUUGAGUAAUGUCUGGGAAACUGCCUGAUGGAGGGGGAUCACUACUGGAAACGGUAGCUAAUACCGCAUACCAUCAGAUGUGCCCAGAUGGGCUUAGCUUGUGGGUGGGGUAACGGCUAAACACGGCGACGAUCCCUAGCUGGUAUGAGAGGAUGACCAGCCACACUGGAACGGAGACACGGUCCAGACUCCUACGGGAGGCAGCAGUGGGGAAUAUUGCACAAUGGGCGCAAGCCUGAUGCAGCCAUGCCGCGGGUAUGAAGAAGGCCUUCGGGUUGUAAAGUACUUUCAGCGGGGAGGCGUUACCCGCAGAAGAAGCACCGGCUAACUCCGUGCCAGCCGCCGCGGUAAUUC